rnacentral:rRNA from 1 species
UACGUAGGGUGCAAGCGUUGUCCGGAAUUAUUGGGCGUAAAGAGCUCGUAGGCGGUCUGUCGCGUCGGCUGUGAAAACCCGGAGCUCAACUCCGGGCCUGCAGUCGAUACGGUCAAACUGGAGUGUUGCAGGGGAGACUGGAAUUCCUGGUGUAGCGGUGAAAUGCGCAGAUAUCAGGAGGAACACCGGUGGCGAAGGCGGGUCUCUGGGCAACAACUGACGCUGAGGAGCGAAAGCGUGGGGAGCGAACAGG